rnacentral:lncRNA from 1 species
AAACCAUCCUGCAAGGAAAUUACUCAUUAAAAUGCAUCUCUCAGCACUAUUCCUUUUCCCUAAGUGUCCCCAGCCUCCGUUUUUCUCCAGUGUCCUUUGGUACCUGUUCCUUACCUCCCCCUCAAUUUUUCUCCCCAAGUCUGAGCUGAAGUCUGCCCUCUUCUUUUCAAGUCUUAUCUUCCCUAGGGUUCGUUAGUCUGGUUCUGUAGUCAUGGCUAAAGGG